GCUUCUCUUCUAACCGUUCCUUCAACUCUUUAUUCCACUCUUUACGUUGCAUAGAUAAGUGUGAAUGCUUUGAUACUGUUUUACAUUCUUCCAUCUCCUUUCCAUUGUGAAAUGGAUCCGUAGCAAACCAGGGUCAGUGGCAUAACAUUUCUGCAAAAUAUCUGACAGUUGUUCUUGAAGUGAAAUUUCAUGACGCAACAUAAAAGUUCAUCGAAAAGCUUAAAAUAACACUUCUAAAGAAAAAGCUGAUUAAAUUCUGACCAACCAGAGGAACUACUAUUUCUUCAGCUGGGCCUCAGCCAAUCAGCGAAUUUGGACUCCCCGUCUGCCAACGUCAUACUAGACAGUCAAAAUAUAUCAUUUCAAAUGGUUCAAGAUUUUGGCAACUUCAAAGUCGAUUUUCUCAACUCAAGUCAAAAAAAGUCCGGAAAAAUUACUGGGAACUCAACUCUUUUAUUGGGUCAAGAGAAUUAAUUUGAAAAAUAGACGCCACUGACCAGUUGCAAUCAAAAUGGUAAACUGUGAAUCUCAAGGAUUUUGAACCUGUCUGCAACAGAAAGUUAAAAAAACUGAAGAAGGAAAGAAACUUCAAAAAAAAAUGACUAAAAAAAUCCAAGUCAUUGUUAGCUAUGUUUUUUUUUUUUUUUUUUUUGAACACUUUGUAUUUGUGGUAGAGUUGCUAAUGAUUAACUAGACUGUAGACCCCUUAAAAUUUUACUCAUCCCAGUCCAAAGCAGAUCCUCAAUCAAUGCUUUAAGAAUGUCGGCCUCCAAGGUGUAGUUGUUGUAGGGCUCGCUCUAUGAUUGGGAGGUUCUGGGUUCGAUUCCCGGCCAGGUGACGGAGUUUGAUGGUCUCAAACAACGGUCACCUGGGGCUGGCUUGAUUAGGGACGGAGGAGGAUGAGGCUAUAGGAAUGGAAAAGCAUAGGAUUACCCCUCGUGGGAUACUUGAAGCGUAAAAAAAAGAAAGAAAGAAAGAAAGAAAGAAUAUUUAUAAUGGGAUUUUCAAUACUGCAUUUCCAGUGAUAUAUUAUACUUUCCGAAAAAGCGAUCUGUUCAGGAGUUAUGAGUUGUUAAAGUUGCAGUUGUGAGUGCAAAAUGUCCCAUGUGGAAAAUUUGCAAUUUGCAAAUGUUGCAGUAUCCCAGUGUCCUUCAAAGAAUUUUUCAAAAUGCCGACUGUUAAUUGCAAUUCGGUGUUGUGAUUUCCCAAAAUUUUCCAAUGAACUACUUAACAGAGUAAGGACUAAUACACUCAGAAAUUUGUCUCCUCAAAAUUUCUCGCAGAUAAAAAAAAAUAAAUAAAUAAAAAACAAAGAAAAAAAUUGUCAAACGAGUUCAGAGUCGACAGCGGGCUAAUUUUUGCAAUCGAUCGACAAAGUCGUAGACAAAGAAGACAAAUGGGAUAUGAAGGGAUCCUAUUGGUGGAAGCGGGUGGUUGCAAAGGACAAAAGAGGUAGACUAACUAACGGCAACCCUAAAGUCAUUCUAUUCUUUACCCUCUUAGUCUAUGAGAACCACCCAUUUCAACCUAUGGGAUCGCUCCACACUCCCUGUCUUCUUUGUCUAUUGCUUAGUCUGGCAGAUUUUACAAAUUAUUAGCUUAAUUUUCUCUGAUGUUUUAUGUCUUAAAUAGAAAACCAACCAACACUGAAAUGUGAGCUUUUUUUGGUAUAUUCAUUUAUAAUCCAGGGCCAAUUCCCAAGAAGUUUUAGGGUGUUGGAUAAUUUCGUUCCUCGUUUAAAAGAAUAAAACAUCAAAGAAAAUUAGGCAAUGUGAAAUGGACGUAUUUCUGCCAAACAGAACCAUGUGCAUUAAGACAUGAGUCCUGAGACACAUGAGAAUAUAUGAAUAACAGAGCUCAUGUCAUAAUGCACAUAGUUCCAUUUUCCAUUUGGCAGAAAUACGUUCCAAUGUGGAUAGGCCAACACCUGUUGAAGUUAAAUCCACCCCAUGAAGUUUACAUUAGAAUCAGCAAACUCAAACUUCCUGCUCAUGAAAAUGAAUGUAAAUCAAAUAAAUCAUCGGAAACUAAUAUAUUGUCGGACAAAUAACGCUCCUUUUUACUCUAGAACAUUGUAUUUGUAAAUAGUGAAAAAAAUUUCAUCACUCUGAAAAACUUUGUAUUGUGAAGAACAAUGAAAUUACUUCAGUGAUUUUGACAUUAGUAAACUUCAGUUCUUUGGCGAACAGUAAGCGUUAGUUGGUGAACCUAGAAAAUGCUGAUUUUUUUACUAGUAAAACUUUGAAAUUUUUUACGUUUUCAUUGCGUUCUACAUAAAAUUUCGAAGCGGAUCAAAAAAAUUCUCUCUUUUUGCAUUAAUCUGCAAGGAGAGAUGAACAUCAGGCAAAGUGUGAGAUUUUUAUUUUCUGAGCAUUAAAAAUAUUUUUCAGGCUUUCGUUCGUUUUGUUAUGUCUUUUUUUUCCCUCUCUGUAGAAUCAACAGAAGUGCAGGCCAAAUACAUAGCACUUCCGUCACACCCGAUUACAGGCAUUUUAAACUUGCGCUACUCAGCAUAUGGUCUGAAGAUUCGAGCCUCUUUUGUCUUGGAUGUUCUUAACUUUUUUCAUUAAUCCUGUUUACGCUGCCUUUAGGAGAAAAUCGUUGUAGCCAAGACAGACUAUCAGUCUGAAUUCUUAUAGGGAUAAGCUGAAUCUUGUUUGUACCCAACAGCAAGUCAUUAACUUCCGAUCAAUUCACAAUUUAUCCCAAUCCUUGCUCUUUGGGUGCAUUUAAGCUCAGUUCCCGAUCUUUCAUUUUAAGCUGCUGUAACCAGGGUUGAAAUUUUUCAUGAAAA